CCUACGGGAGGCAGCAGUGAGGAAUAUUGGUCAAUGGGCGAGAGCCUGAACCAGCCAAGUCGCGUGAGGGAGUACUGCCCUAUGGGUUGUAAACCUCUUUUGUCGGAGAACAAAACCCGGGACGUGUCCCGGACUGCGGGUAGCCGAAGAAAAAGCAUCGGCUAACUCCGUGCCAGCAGCCGCGGUAAUACGGAGGAUGCGAGCGUUAUCCGGAUUUAUUGGGUUUAAAGGGUGCGUAGGCGGUCCGUUAAGUCAGCGGUAAAAUUGCGGGGCUCAACCCCGUCGAGCCGUUGAAACUGGCAGACUUGAGUUGGCGAGAAGUACGCGGAAUGCGCGGUGUAGCGGUGAAAUGCAUAGAUAGCGCGCAGAACUCCGAUUGCGAAGGCAGCGUACCGGCGCCAGACUGACGCUGCGGCACGAAAGCGUGGGGAUCGAACAGGAUUAGAUACCCUUGUAGUC
rnacentral:rRNA from 1 species